GCAAAGUUGGAUUUUUUUCCUUUCCUUUUCUUUUUAUUUUCUUUUCCUUCGUUUAUUACCCGCGUGCCCUAUCCCUCGCCCGAUCGUCUUCUUCCCUCGUUCUCCUUCCUCUUCCCGAUUUUGCAACGUCAUCUGCUCCAACUCGACCGUCGACUCCCUCGUGCGACCUCCCUCCAUCGCCUCUCGCUGUUCCCGGCGACCACCGAGCCUCAACGCCAAGCUGUGUGGUCGAUUACCAAAGUUAGCUGUCGGCGACUGCACCACCACCCGAAUCACACCUCAGCGCCAACCGAUCGCUGACCACCAGAGGCUUGAGCUCUCCUAUCUUCACCACUGAGUCGUCACCGCCUCUGAUCGUUGAGUUGCGUUCGGUCGUUUCCCUCUCCGAGUCAUCACCCCUAGGUGGAUUUCCGGACAAGAAGGGGAGAUGCGGCCCUAGCCUUGAUCUCUUGUCUCGCAACUCUGUGCACUGCAUCUUCGGCCUUCAGACCCUACCAUUUCAGCCGAUUUUUGCAUAGAUUUCUUUCUUGGAUCUGUCAUGAAGCACUGGCCAGAACUCCUCUAAACAUCACUGUUCCGGUCAACAACGAUAUUCUUGCUAGAUUCGAUGAUUGAUUGUGGCUCCAACCUUGCUCCAGUCAGGUCUACCAGCAGCAAGUUGUCUCCGGCAGUGGAUCACCGGCAGAUCAUCCGGAUUUGGGAUUCGGAUUGGGGAUGAGCACAUCGACAUAGAGGUUGAUUAGCUCGAUCUACAUUGGAGGCGGGU